rnacentral:rRNA from 1 species
AUUGAACGCUGGCGGCAGGCUUAACACAUGCAAGUCGAGCGGAGAGAGGUAGCUUGCUACUGAUCUUAGCGGCGGACGGGUGAGUAAUGCUUAGGAAUCUGCCUAUUAGUGGGGGACAACAUUUCGAAAGGAAUGCUAAUACCGCAUACGUCCUACAGGAGAAAGCAGGGGAACUUCGGACCUUGGGCUAAUAGAUGAGCAUAAGUCGGAUUAGCUAGUUUGUGGGGUAAAGGCCUACCAAGCCGACGAUCUGUAGCGGGUCUGAGAGGAUGAUCCGCCACACUGGGACUGAGACACGGCCCAGACUCCUACGGGAGGCAGCAGUGGGGAGUAUUGGACAAUGGGCGGAAGCCUGAUCCAGCCAUGCCGCGUGUGUGAAGAAGGCCUUAUGGUUGUAAAGCACUUUAAGCGAGGAGGAGGCUACUUUAGUUAAUACCUAGAGAUAGUGGACGUUACUCGCAGAAUAAGCACCGGCUAACUCUGUGCCAGCCGCCGCCGUAA